rnacentral:misc_RNA from 1 species
GUGAAUCAUCGAAUCUUUGAACGCAAAUUGCACUCUCUUCUGAGAGUAUGCCUGUUUGAGGGUCAGUAUUAAUAAAAAUCGGUGUUUUUCUUCUUUGUGACGCUCCGGAGUUUUUGUCAUCUUAAUAUCCUUUAGAUUUUAAGUGGCUUAAAAUUGACUUUUGGUGCGCAUUUUAUUUGGACAUAAAUUCUUUUUUUUAUUCUUCUGGCUUAAUUCUCAAAAUCCUAUUAGAUGCGACCGUAUCGUUAGUUUUCU